GGCUGACAUAUUUUUCUCUAGGGCAUGUUUGUACUUGUUGGGCAGUUUUAAUAACCAAUUAUAUUAUGUAUUCAUAAUUUAUCUUAGAAAUUAAUAAAGAUAAUUUUAUAUAUUCUCAAGGUAUUGAGAAUUUGAGACAUACAUCAUUAGUGGUUAAUUUCUAAAUGCUUUCGAUCGAAGGAUCGUCACGGAGGACAGUGAUCAAUCCAUUCGAGAUCGAUGCAUAGAUCACCUCUCUUCAGGGCAAAUGAGUCUCGAGUCUGCGGUGUAGAGAUACUGGGGUG
rnacentral:lncRNA from 1 species